rnacentral:lncRNA from 1 species
CAAUGAUGGGAUAGUAGGAAGAGAGUUUAGCCAAGUGGGUGAAUCUCUGUGCUCUACUUCUAACUGUUUAAUUCAAAGGCCUUCACAACCACAAAUAGAUGUGAAGAUCACUGACGAAGCUGGAACUAAUAAGAAAUUAUUUCCAAGUAAAUACUGAAGUACAUGGAAAACUAUGAUUGCACAAGGACAUACCACUUGAAAUCUGAUCAUCAGAAUGAUGUCAGGUCUCCAAAAAUGAAAAGAACCAAGGUCUAGCGCCUCAUCAUUGCAAGAGAAUUGGGAAAUUAGGAAAGUGUGGUGGUUACAGUGAGAUAGACAAUCAUGCUCAGUUAAGGGUCAACUACAAGGCAAUUUUUAUAGCAAAUAUGUGUAAAUCACCUGGGUUCCCAACAGCAAUCUAAUGGUUAAAUAAAAUGUGGC